rnacentral:tRNA from 1 species
GCCGGCGUAGCUCAAUGGUAGAGCACCGCAUUCGUAAUGCGGGGGUUGCGGGUUCGAGUCCCAUCGCCGGCU